GGUUAAGCGACUAAGCGUACACGGUGGAUGCCCUGGCAGUCAGAGGCGAUGAAGGACGUGCUAAUCUGCGAUAAGCGUCGGUGAGGUGAUAUGAACCGUUAUAACCGGCGAUUUCCGAAUGGGGAAACCCAGUGUGUUUCGACACACUAUCAUUAACUGAAUCCAUAGGUUAAUGAGGCGAACCGGGGGAACUGAAACAUCUAAGUACCCCGAGGAAAAGAAAUCAACCGAGAUUCCCCCAGUAGCGGCGAGCGAACGGGGAGGAGCCCAGAGCCUGAAUCAGUGUGUGUGUUAGUGGAAGCGUCUGGAAAGGCGCGCGAUACAGGGUGACAGCCCCGUACACAAAAAUGCACAUAUUGUGAGCUCGAUGAGUAGGGCGGGACACGUGGUAUCCUGUCUGAAUAUGGGGGGACCAUCCUCCAAGGCUAAAUACUCCUGACUGACCGAUAGUGAACCAGUACCGUGAGGGAAAGGCGAAAAGAACCCCGGCGAGGGGAGUGAAAAAGAACCUGAAACCGUGUACGUACAAGCAGUGGGAGCCUCUUAAUGGGGUGACUGCGUACCUUUUGUAUAAUGGGUCAGCGACUUAUAUUCUGUAGCAAGGUUAACCGAAUAGGGGAGCCGAAGGGAAACCGAGUCUUAACUGGGCGUUAAGUUGCAGGGUAUAGACCCGAAACCCGGUGAUCUAGCCAUGGGCAGGUUGAAGGUUGGGUAACACUAACUGGAGGACCGAACCGACUAAUGUUGAAAAAUUAGCGGAUGACUUGUGGCUGGGGGUGAAAGGCCAAUCAAACCGGGAGAUAGCUGGUUCUCCCCGAAAGCUAUUUAGGUAGCGCCUCGUGAAUUCAUCUCCGGGGGUAGAGCACUGUUUCGGCAAGGGGGUCAUCCCGACUUACCAACCCGAUGCAAACUGCGAAUACCGGAGAAUGUUAUCACGGGAGACACACGGCGGGUGCUAACGUCCGUCGUGAAGAGGGAAACAACCCAGACCGCCAGCUAAGGUCCCAAAGUCAUGGUUAAGUGGGAAACGAUGUGGGAAGGCCCAGACAGCCAGGAUGUUGGCUUAGAAGCAGCCAUCAUUUAAAGAAAGCGUAAUAGCUCACUGGUCGAGUCGGCCUGCGCGGAAGAUGUAACGGGGCUAAACCAUGCACCGAAGCUGCGGCAGCGACACUAUGUGUUGUUGGGUAGGGGAGCGUUCUGUAAGCCUGUGAAGGUGGCCUGUGAGGGUUGCUGGAGGUAUCAGAAGUGCGAAUGCUGACAUAAGUAACGAUAAAGCGGGUGAAAAGCCCGCUCGCCGGAAGACCAAGGGUUCCUGUCCAACGUUAAUCGGGGCAGGGUGAGUCGACCCCUAAGGCGAGGCCGAAAGGCGUAGUCGAUGGGAAACAGGUUAAUAUUCCUGUACUUGGUGUUACUGCGAAGGGGGGACGGAGAAGGCUAUGUUGGCCGGGCGACGGUUGUCCCGGUUUAAGCGUGUAGGCUGGUUUUCCAGGCAAAUCCGGAAAACCAAGGCUGAGGCGUGAUGACGAGGCACUACGGUGCUGAAGCGACAAAUGCCCUGCUUCCAGGAAAAGCCUCUAAGCAUCAGGUAACAUCAAAUCGUACCCCAAACCGACACAGGUGGUCAGGUAGAGAAUACCAAGGCGCUUGAGAGAACUCGGGUGAAGGAACUAGGCAAAAUGGUGCCGUAACUUCGGGAGAAGGCACGCUGAUAUGUAGGUGAAGCGACUUGCUCGUGGAGCUGAAAUCAGUCGAAGAUACCAGCUGGCUGCAACUGUUUAUUAAAAACACAGCACUGUGCAAACACGAAAGUGGACGUAUACGGUGUGACGCCUGCCCGGUGCCGGAAGGUUAAUUGAUGGGGUUAGCGGCAACGCGAAGCUCUUGAUCGAAGCCCCGGUAAACGGCGGCCGUAACUAUAACGGUCCUAAGGUAGCGAAAUUCCUUGUCGGGUAAGUUCCGACCUGCACGAAUGGCGUAAUGAUGGCCAGGCUGUCUCCACCCGAGACUCAGUGAAAUUGAACUCGCUGUGAAGAUGCAGUGUACCCGCGGCAAGACGGAAAGACCCCGUGAACCUUUACUAUAGCUUGACACUGAACAUUGAGCCUUGAUGUGUAGGAUAGGUGGGAGGCUUUGAAGUGUGGACGCCAGUCUGCAUGGAGCCGGCCUUGAAAUACCACCCUUUAAUGUUUGAUGUUCUAACGUUGGCCCGUAAUCCGGGUUGCGGACAGUGUCUGGUGGGUAGUUUGACUGGGGCGGUCUCCUCCUAAAGAGUAACGGAGGAGCACGAAGGUUGGCUAAUCCUGGUCGGACAUCAGGAGGUUAGUGCAAUGGCAUAAGCCAGCUUGACUGCGAGCGUGACGGCGCGAGCAGGUGCGAAAGCAGGUCAUAGUGAUCCGGUGGUUCUGAAUGGAAGGGCCAUCGCUCAACGGAUAAAAGGUACUCCGGGGAUAACAGGCUGAUACCGCCCAAGAGUUCAUAUCGACGGCGGUGUUUGGCACCUCGAUGUCGGCUCAUCACAUCCUGGGGCUGAAGUAGGUCCCAAGGGUAUGGCUGUUCGCCAUUUAAAGUGGUACGCGAGCUGGGUUUAGAACGUCGUGAGACAGUUCGGUCCCUAUCUGCCGUGGGCGCUGGAGAACUGAGGGGGGCUGCUCCUAGUACGAGAGGACCGGAGUGGACGCAUCACUGGUGUUCGGGUUGUCAUGCCAAUGGCACUGCCCGGUAGCUAAAUGCGGAAGAGAUAAGUGCUGAAAGCAUCUAAGCACGAAACUUGCCCCGAGAUGAGUUCUCCCUGAGACUUAGAGUCUCCUGAAGGAACGUUGAAGACGACGACGUUGAUAGGCCGGGUGUGUAAGCGCAGCGAUGCGUUGAGCUAACCGGUACUAAUGAACCGUGAGGCUUAACCUUAC
rnacentral:rRNA from 1 species